rnacentral:sRNA from 1 species
UCUCCAGUCCCUUAGCUCACUUCCAAAUUGUGCUAUUGGUGUCUGCUCCCAAUUGAUAUAUUCUGAUAGCAUAUCUAGUUGGGAAGAGAAAGUAGUACAUGAAUAAACUCCAUAUUUCAGAGCUAAAUAAACAUCUCCUUUGGGAGGUCACUGUACAAGUUGGCAGCAAAUGGAGAAAGCAAGAACCUAAGUAUUAGAAAUCAAAGGGAGAGGAUGUGUCCACUCAAGGCUCUCAUAGAGAAGGCAGAGCAUUUCUCUCUGAUUUGUAAGGCUGGUCAACUACCCCAAUGUGUAAGGAUAGAUAAUGCCAGUGUCCUCAAAGGCACAGGAGAUAUACACAGGAACCUAGCAGAAGCAGUUUCUGUAUUCGUAGCAGAGUUCCAGCUAGUCAGGACUGUUCUUGAUGUUGCAGACACUCCAGGUAGCUAGAUCUGUCUGGAGGCGACUUUGGAGCUGGACAAUAUGCAGAUCUGUGUCGUGUGUGUAUUCCUCCAGGUGUCCUUUGAGAUGACCCAUGAGACCCUGUACUUGGCAGUGAAGCUGGUGGAUCUCUACCUAAUGAAGGCAGUAUGCAAGAAGGAUAAGUUACAACUCCUUGGUGCCACUGCCUUUAUGAUUGCAGCAAAAUUUGAGGAGCACAACCCACCUCGUGUGGAUGACUUUGUGUACAUCUGUGAUGAUAAUUAUCAGCGAUAUGAGAUGCUCAGCAUGGAAAUCAACAUCCUGAACGUCCUCAAAUGUGACAUUAACAUUCCCGUUGCCUAUCAUUUUCUGCGCAGAUAUGCUAGGUGUAUCCACACCAACAUGAAGACACUGACCUUGUCCCGCUACAUCUGCGAGAUGACCCUGCAGGAAUACCACUAUGUCCAGGAGAAGGCUUCCAAGCUAGCUGCUGCCUCCUUACUCCUGGCCCUCUACAUGAAGAAGCUCGGAUACUGGGUUCCCUUCCUGGAGUAUUACAGCGGCUACAGUAUCUCUGAGCUUCACCCCUUGGUCAGACAGCUGAACAAACUGCUGACUUUCAGUUCUUAUGAUAGUCUCAAGGCUGUGUAUUACAAGUAUUCUCACCCGGUCUUCUUUGAAGUUGCCAAAAUCCCCGCCUUGGAUAUGUUGAAGCUGGAGGAGAUUUUGAACUGUGAUUGUGAGGCUCAGGGCCUGGUACUCUAGCAGCAGCCACAGG